CCUACGGGAGGCUGCAGUGGGGGAUAUUGCACAAUGGGGGAAACCCUGAUGCAGCGACGCCGCGUGUGGGCAGACGGUCCUCUGGAUUGUAAACCACUGUCCCCAGGGACGAAGAUGACGGUACCUGGGGAGGAAGCUCCGGCUAACUACGUGCCAGCAGCCGCGGUAAUACGUAGGGAGCGAGCGUUGUCCGGAAUUACUGGGUGUAACGGGAGCGUAGGCGGGACUGCAAGUUGGUUGUAAAAUCUACCGGCUCAACCGGUAGCCGCACUCAAAACUGCAGUUCUUGAGUGAAGUAGAGGCAGGCGGAAUUCCUAGUGUAGCGGUGAAAUGCGUAGAUAUUAGGAGGAACACCAGUGGCGAAGGCGGCCUGCUGGGCUUUUACUGACGCUGAGGCUCGAAAGUGUGGGGAGCAAACAGGAUUAGAUACCCGAGUAGUC
rnacentral:rRNA from 1 species